rnacentral:miRNA from 1 species
GUGCUCACAACACAAUGGAAGUAUGUAUUUUCACUUUGCUCUAAUCAGCAUUUGCUAAGUGAAUUCACAUGCUUCGAUUGUUUUGUUUGGAGCAUC